ACCUCCCUGAGUCAGUCAUUCUGUUUCUGCUUGCUGUCAGAGUUGCCGUAGGCAGAGCCCUUGUCAAUUUCCGUUACACCAAUCAUCCAUCGAACUCCCAUGGAGGCUGCAGAGACAAGGAGAGCAGAUUUAGGAGCAGCCCGAACAGACUACAGGCCCAUUUGCCCACAGAGCAUGUGAGAAGGUCCGUGGCCACAAAUCACAAGCACCAGCUGGGAGCUGGCGGGUCUGAGGGGACAUCGUCCUCCCAGCUUUACAGUCAUCCUUGAGUGUGGACAUCUGUGUGACAUUAAGAAAAAGCAAGGCUGCUCUGGUGGGGGUUUUCCUCCUUGGACCCUGAAGGUGAACGAUUUGGCAAGCCAUGCACAGCUGUUCACAGGGACUCAGAGAAAUCCCUGGCUUCCUCUGCUGGCUCCCAGGUAAAGAGGAUUCUCUUGUAAAUGAGGGGCAGGAACUUAACAGGGCAUGUUCGGCGAAGUUUUAUAAAGAACAGACCAGGAGCCUGGAAGAUGCAAGAGCUCGAGUACCGAGUGCCCAACGAGUUUCAGCACUGCUUUUGGUGCAAGUGUUACAGCAGUGAGAAAAUCCCCGCCGUUCCCUCUGACGGCAGGAUUUGCCUACACCAGAGAAUGGGCAGGACCCUCGUGGGAGCCCAGUUUCAUAUAGGAAGCUGGAAAGCAGGGCCCAAUGCUCAGAAGUUGCAAUUUCAACUACUCCCUCUGGAGAGGGCAGAUUUGGUGAGGUCCUUGGGUGCAGGGCCCAAGACGUAAUCAUUUGAUGUGUUCAGCACUGGGCAUGGAGCUUGGAAAACAGUCCGUUUAUAAUAAAUGUUUAAGAAUGGAUAGACAAGUGAAUGAAAUCCCCUAAAUCAUGAUGCACAGGGUUACCUAGCAUUAGCAUCGUGGUUGAUAAACUAACUGGGACAUGGAUGGAAGAGCCUGGGAUGGGCGAAUGCAGCCCAGCCAGCAGAAGGCACGCAUCUCCCAUGAGUCAUUUACAAACGGGAGGACUCCUGCGUGGAGUGUAACAGUAGCAGUGCGAGUGGAAUUCUUGUAGAGCAGAAAAAAGUGAGUAAAACGUGAACCCUGUGGCCUUCGAAGAGGAGUAAGACACAAACACAAAGUCCUUCAAGGCAGAAUGCAGUCAGGCGCAGGCUCAGGGUGAUGGGGCGGGACAGUCAGCUCCUCAGAUGCUCCUGGAGACAUCCUGUGUCCACACUGCACCCUGGGCAGUGCUCAAGCUUCUUUUUUUGGUACUCGCUACACACCUGGGUGGCCCUGUCUGCAGCCUUCAUCCUGAAGGGGCCUGUCCAAGAGGACACGGGUCUGUGUGUGCCUUGCUGUUGCCUGCUAUUGAAGAGAAGGGCUGAGCUUGCCCCCGCCCUACCAGGGACCCUUGGCCAGCCUCAGCAGCAUGGCGGGGGAUGGGGGUGCCCCCAGGCCUGCCUUAAGGAGAUGAGGUGCUUUCUUCUCCAUCCUCUUAUUUUUUUCCCUUAGAAGGUGUGGGUGUUAAUAUUUUAAUUUUUAAUAUUAAAAUGCAUCUUAAUUUUUCAAAAGACUAGUAGGGUCUGUGUGAGGCACAGGAGCCAGCUUGUUUACUGCAACCACAUGCUCUAGAAUUGGUUAGGUCAGUCGGAAUGAAUGAGAUAGGUUUAUGUGCUGUGACCUGUUUUGGUGGUUAUGAUUCAUUAGGUGAAAAGGCGAGUUGAAGAAACUCCACUGAUAGGAAUUUACAUUUGCUUGAGGCUGGAAAAAGCAUGUGCACCAAAUUGUCAUUAACGAUUAUCUGGGAAUUAGGCUCAAUGGGAAUUUUGUUGUGACACACUUUCAAUUUUCUGCGCUUGCAUAUUGCUUGGGCCUUUUAUAGUGAGCAUACUGCAUCUUUGUGUUUCACAGAAAAUAACUGAGACCUGUCCAUCUGAAAGCAGCACACGAUCUCUGUGUGCUUGGACAAUGUGCCAUCUCUCCCGGGCUCUCCAAAGCCUCAGAGAGGAUGCCAGGCCUGGGGAGAUGGGGCCUUUCACAGGGAAACCCCGAAGUCUUCCUUGGCUCCAGGACGCACGGGCCUGCUGUUCACAGGCAGGAAGCAGGCACGACAGGCUGCCCCACCACAGAGGCAAGGAGCAGGGUGCACAGAGGCUUGGUGCCAAGAAGCAGCAGUAGCCCGAGAAUCCGGGUCACCUGGGGCCAGCGCAGAUGCGUGAAAAGUUCUGUGAGCAAGCGUCUCCACUGAGUGUCGUUCACCUGCAGCAAAGGAGAAGCCACAGGCGCCCCCAGAGGAAGGCAGGGAGCUGCCCCUACAUCCCCACCGGCCUCCAGCACAGGGCUUUCUUCAGAAACAGGAAAUGAUGCCAGUGAGCAGAGCUGUCUGCAGGGGACGGGGAGGGAGCACUCGCAGCCGUCGGGGAGUGGAAGUGGCAGCUACAUCACCACCCAAGAGGGAACGUGUGGAAUCCAGCCCCAGGUGGGAGGCUGGACCAUCCAGGCUGCAGAGUGGGUCCUGGGCCUGGUAUUCAAGGGCCUCGUACUCAUCCUGAAGUCUAAUUUUUCCCUGUGAUUUGCAAGCUGAGCCUGCUCCUCAUCCAUGGCACAACUGCCUACACAGAUGGCCUCUGUCCCAGCCCUGAUGCCACCUCUCCCAGGGUGGUGCUGUUAGCACCCCCCAGCCCCUUGCCCUCCACUCACCCACGAAGAAGACAAGGAUGAAGCUGGCCAGCGUCAAGGAAGACCCGCUCCUGAUCAUGCUGACCAGGAACUGGAAGAAAGGGUAGAGCACCAGCGAGGCCCAAAACAGCCAGUUCACGAGGGUCCAGGGCCGCCGGGGGGGCACCAUGGGCGUCUCUGGGAAGGUGCCUGUCCUGUAGUACUCCUCCUGAAAGGCAUCCUGGGGGACAGGAAAGAGGACCCUCAGACGCCACACAGGGCUCAGUGGCAGGUCCCUCCCGAGGCCCUGCUUCCAAGACACAUCGCAGAGAUACACGGGUGCCACGGGGGCUCGGCAGAACUGGGGUCUGUGGCUCCUUCCAGAAAGCACUUUGUAGGCAGCUGCUGUCUUCUCAAUGCUGCAUCUGGCCGCCCCUCCCACAGGGGCACUGGGAGUGGCAGGGCUGCUGCAGCUGUCACUGAGUGCAGGGCGUGCAGCAUGAGGCCUGGCGCCAGGCCAGCCUGGGCUGGAGCUGGGAUCCACCCUCUGUGGGCAGGUGCCUGCAUCCCUGAGCCCAGGCCCCAGUGUGUCUGAUGGGGCAGCAGUGCCUUCCACGACAGGUCGGCGGGAGAAUGGAGUGGCUGCUGCCCCGAAGCUGCCCACAGGGGACACUGUGGAGACCCAACCCGCAGUCAGGAGGAGCUCGCCACACAGCCCGGCCCGGCACAUGCCCUGCCUUCCUGGCCUCCACAGCCAGUUCACCUCGGCUCCUGCGGGGCCGCCCACCCACACCUACCACCCUGUUGGCCACUGGAGGGCUCUGAGGGCCGUGAUUCAAGGCAUCAUGAAUGACAAAAGCUUGUGGGCUGCUGGGUAUGGCUCUCGGAGGUGACAGCAAACUCAGGACUGGGUAUCCAGGGUGACUCUUUUAAGUGACUGUCAGACCGUGGAAAAGGUAAACAGGCUCACGUCCUUCCACUAAGCAGAUUCUUAGUGGGAACCACGCACUCGUCCACGUCCACCCCCAGGGUGUGUGUGUCACGAGCAGCUUGCAGAGCAGCUACUCCAGAGCCCUCAUGGCGCUCCUUGCAGUCCCUGGGUGAGAACAGGGGACUCUCGGCCCCACGUAAAUGCACUGCAAAAGAACGCGGUGGCCCUUCCCUGGGGGUCUCAUGUCACGGAGCUCCCGCUCAGAGACUGGGGCUCAGCCACAAGGAGCUGCCGGAUAUAAGGUAGGGAACCAGGAACCCGACAGUCAGCAGGAGUGCUCAAGCGGCUGGGAGCUGGGCUGAGCCAGGAACUGGGGGGAACAAGGGGCUAUGGCACCAGGAUUCCCACUGGCCCAUCUAAGGGCAGGUCCUGGCCAUGAGGGGGGACCAGGGCAGGAGCCACCUCCAGGGAGCAGAGCUGAGCCAGGCAGCCACAGGGAGUUGCCCGGGUUGUAUUGUGGGCGGCUGCCUCAGCCAUUGUAAAAGCUGCACAUGGCUGAUAGCAUGCAUGCCACACAAAAACAGGUGUGGGUCAUGGUGAGGCCCAGUUUGUGUCCCAUGAACUAGCCUAGUAACGUCCCAGUUCUCUAAGGAGUCGAAUUUUCUGAAAAAUGAGCUUCCAUAUAAUUGAAACUUAUACUACCUUAAAUGCUGAAUAUUUUCCUUUAACAAUUUGAGAUAGAAAAGUCUAAAGUAUCUCAUACUUCUCUUCUUUUCCAUUCAGGGUGUACUGAAUCAUAGGCUUUCUUGGCCUCUCAGAGUCACUUUUCAUACUAGUCCACACACUAAUGAGGCCAUUUUGGAAGGAGAACCCCCAACCCCUUCCCUGGGCAGUUCAGGUGCCUCUGCUCUGCCCUCGGCCCCCUGCAGCCCAUUAACAAGCCUGGUCUGAAGUGUCACUUGUCGCGUGACUCUGCUCUUGGACAUCGGCCAAGGGAAGCCGUGGGGGCUCUCAGGGGAAGUCACAUCAUCAAGCAGUUGAAGAAAAAUCGACGUGUGUGCCAAGCACUCCCACCCUCAAGCAGUGAGAGUGAUCAGAUGGUGGAGGAGACAAGGAGGUAGCCUAAAUAAUGUGGAAGUGAAGAGAGUAAUGCAAGUGAUCGAAAGAAGGGGCGUUCCACAUCCACACUGGAGAAACACAGGCCAAAAUGCAAUUAUGACCCAUGAAGGAACAACCCAGGGUCCAAUUCAAUGGCAUAGACAGAUGCUGUCAGAAGAGGGGACACUUGCCUCAUUCCAUCUUCCCUCCCAGCUCACAAAAAGGCCCCCAAAACCUGAUAUUUGCCUCUUCCAAAGAGGACAACACUGCCUCACUUUCCACAUGAGACAAUCCAAUAUACACAGAAUUGAUGCAUCAGAGACAAGAUCCUAGUAAUUUCUUCUUAGUCAAGUAACCGACUUACUGGUAAUGGCAGAUUAUCUCCCAUCAAAUGAUUCCUGUAGCCUCUUGGUUAGCCUUGAGGCAGACUUUUUCUGCAAAGCUUUUGACAAGUCAGUGAUGUGGAUGGUGGGGAAUUAAAGUUCUCCCAGAUGCAAGUAGCCAGGGCAUCUUGCAGCACCCAGGCUCCAUGGCUCAGACAGGGGUCCAGAGUCACUGUACACCAGCGAUAGCUUGGAGACUUGGGUGGCUGUGGGGACUGGUGGCUGGCAAGGGCUUGCUACUCAAUCAUCUACAAACAGCCCAUACUGAACAUGGGGAAGAGUCACUCUGCCACCUUUGCCAUUCCUACUUGUUCUCAGGUUGUUGGCUCUUGUGAUUUCAAGGGAUGUUCCUUUAUAUUCAAUUUUGUCCAUGUCGAAGUCUGCAUCUGGCUUGAUUUCCCUUCUAUGGCCUAAGAAUAUCUUAGUAAGAAGAUUUUAGAGCUUAUCUAUCACACUAGAGUCUUAUCUAUCACACUAUAGUCUGUUAAGAGAAUAAACGAUGGGAUUCCAUCUUAGAUUAUAGUGAGCGACUUCCUUUUCAAGGCAGUAUUGUACAGAGGUAAGUUUUUCACAUAAUUAGAACUUACCCCAUAAGCUCCUCCGGAAAUAUCCUUUCACCUUUCCUGUUCCUACGCACACUGUACUUUUGUGAAUCCUCUACUUCUUUGCUCUUUGAUCUACUCUGCUUUGGAAAUGAGAUUUCUCGAGUCUGCAUAAUAUUUCUUUAUUUGGAUAGUGGGAAUGUAGUGAGUUUUGCCCUUUUCAGCAACUUGACAUUAUCGCCCUUGAUGUUUCAGUGCUUUGUACUGACUUAUGUUCAGAAAAAUGCCUCCAUCAUUUUUAAUGGGCAGUGAUGACAAAAAGAUGUGUGUUGAACAGCAUCAAUGCUAACCUUCCUCUGGGGUCAAGUGUGUCAUCUGGCUUCAGUGAGUGAACGCGCCAGAAUCAUUUUGGAGCUGAUUCUCACACGUGCUUUGGAGAGUUGCAGCUACCUGAGAGGUGAAAUAAUCUUCCACAUGUCUUGGGAUUUUCCCAAAUAACUGAGCCCAGCUGGUCACUGAGUGGAGCUCCUGCCAGCCGUCAGUGAACAUGGGGAAUAAAACCUCACUUUACUCCUAGAAGGUCUAAAGGUCUCCUUCAGGCGGGUGGGUGAUUCUCCUGCCUUCAUAUGCCACAGAACUGAGUCACAGGGCAGACUCGCCUGCACCAUCAGACAAGAAGUCAGUGAUGAUGUCAAUGCUGUCCUAUUUUGAUGGGAAAGCCAGAGUCAUUUUUAGAUCAGAAGCUACUUAACUUUGGCCGCCAGUCCACCAAAACAUCUCCCAGGAAAGCUGGGACAUUUAGUGUGGCCUGGUGGGAAUGUAGGGCCCCUGGAUUUUCAUGGGGCUGUUUGUAAUACCGCUUCUGUAAGGUCUUGAAUCAGAAGGUUAUACGCCCCUGGAUUAGUUCUCCAUUAGUGGGCAUUUCAGAUUCUCUUGAUUAGCAUUCAGAGAAGGUGACCCACAGCACAACAAACCAGUCCGGUCCCUGACCCCUGUCACUCUGGGUUUUAAUGCGUGAAUUGCCAUUGUGUUUACUAUCUGCUGCACCUUCCAAUUCUGUUUCCCACCGAAACAGAGGUGCUCGGCCCAUUCUAUAAGCAGGGAAGGAGAACCAGUUUGACUAAUAUGUUCUAGAAGUGUCUUCAAUAAAAUCACUAACAGCCUGGAACAUAACACAUAAGUAAGACACUGCAAAAGACUUUUGCAUUUGUGUCUAGACCGCCUUAUAUAAAUACACAUCUGUGUGUAUUCCAUAUAGCAGACCCAUCGCUCAAGGAAAGUGUCAAUCACAUAUUCUCGUCACACCAACACCAAAAUAAUUAUAAAAUAUGGCCUUCCAUUUGUUCAACCUGAGCUCUCUGAAAUGGAAGAUUACAGAGGAUCCGGAAGGAGCUGGGAUGGAAGGAGAUUUCAGCAGAUCAUUCUCAAUAGUAGGAUAUGUCAAGUUCAAUGCAAAACAGACUGCAAAGGAGUCAGUGUGACCCAGGGAUCCCUGGAAGAAAGUCUCUAGGUCAUUUGUGAUGUGUUUACUUUGAAACGGGCACUGUCUUUUCUGGAAAGGAAACCGUUCGACUUACCUAACAUACAAAUCUGCAUGGUAUUUCUUUCCGUUUAGGACUCCCAGCAGUGUUGGAUUUUCAUUAUUUCUGAAAUUGAGUGUACAGUCAUAUACAGCUGAAACUAUAAAAAAUAAAACAAAUACAAAGCAGUA